AACCGUUGAAAACCCGAGAACCCAGGCACCCCGAAGAAGGCACUGCUUAUACUCUUGUGAUCGUGGGGGUUUCAGUUGAUUCUGAGCUUAUGGGAAGCUUUAGAUCACCCUCAUGAUGCUCGGAGUACCAUUUUCACGAAGUUUGGACGUCGGGAUUGUGUAGAACCAAAGAACCCAAUAUUUGGUACUGUUCAUGUGCUCGUGGAAUUAAAGGUUUCAAGGUAUUUGGAGCUCAUAGGGAGCUUAAGGACCUCUCCACGAAGCUCGGAGAGGAAGAAUGAGGUGAUUUAGACGUCUGGAGACCGAGAUCGAAGCAUCACGGUUUGGCCGGAAUUAUCGAAGGAUCUCUGGCAAAUUCUCGAAGGUUUUAGGUCCAAAUCUUGGUAAAGUUUUGUUUCUUAUGUUGUAAGCUUCAUUUUGGUGAAGAUUUCAUGAAAAAUGGUUAAGAAUUGACUGAAAUACGAAGCCUGGAAAAUUUCCAGAAACCGGCGAGUUGCAGCGGCACCGGCGACGGUCUCCGGCGAACCAAGGAAGAAGGAGGAGUAUACUCCGUCAAGUCUGACGGAAUAUGCUAACGGCGUCAGUUAUAUUAAACGGUAUAUUCUGAUUUUUAACGGAAUAUUCCCUAACUGCCGUUACUGUUACCGUUAGGGUUCCUCGCGCGUGGCGGCGCGUCUUGCCGUGCACUCGCCGGCGCGUGGCGGCGCGUGGGUGGUCGGAAAAUUUUUCUAAAAUUAUGGGGUUGUUCGUGAGGUUGAGUAAUCACUGUGGUAUAUUCAUAUACCCAAAUUGAGCAACGUAUGAGAAGUUAUUUCCAAGGUUUUGAUUAUGUGCUUAAAUAACGUUAUUUCGGUUACUUCUCAUAUAGGCGAGGCUUAUGCGGACGAUGAGCAAAGUUAAGGGAGGCUCGGGGGCUACGACCCUUCGACAUAUCUGUGUGUGGGCAGUUUUGUUUUCGUAUUACCUAUAUACUACUGUUUUCCCAUAAAAUACGUUUAUAUGAAAAUAUGAUUUAAAUUGCCAUGCAUGCAAUUGUUGAGAUAUUUAAAUUGAUAAUUGAUGCAUAUAUAUGUGAAUUGACGCGGUGGACGCACAGGUGAGUCUUUACAUUAUUCAGACGAUUUAUUUUAUGUGAAUUGCAUUGGAAGCUCAUAACCUGCACCCUAGGUGUUAGUGCUUAUAUUAUUCACCACACCGCACGCUCGCCUUGGAUCCAAGUAGGUGGAUGUCGUACAGACCACUAGAGGUGGUUCCGACAUGCCAGUCGUACAGACCAUUAGAGUGGUUCCGACUGGUGGGUGACCUUAGAUUACGUGCACAAAUGAUUGAUGAGAGAAGCACUAGAGCGUAUUAUUACACCAUUAUAGUCGUACAGACUACUUUAGGUAGUUCCGACUUAUGUGCAGUGUAGCGCCGUAUAGGUCACAGUUGGUGACUCCGGCAGGGCAGUACAGGUCACAGUUGGUGACUCCGGCUGGAUGAGAUUUUGAGCUAUAGUUUCAGCCGUACAGGACCAUUGUAGGAUCUCCGGUUGAUUUAUUUUUCACCUGAUUUAUAUUGAUGCAUUCAUAUUAUAGUUUGGCAUGGCAUGGCAUAUUUUUUUCCGAAAAGUGUUAAAGAAAUGAGUUUUGAGAUUUAUGAAAGUAUAUUUGUACAUAUGCUAUUUUUCUGGGAAAGUACAAGUUUUACGGAGAGGGGUUACAACGUUUUGAGAAAUGUUUUGUCUUGAAAAGAUUGGUUUUACUGACCCACUCAACUUUGUUUUUCGCUCCUCCAGGUUCGAGACAGAGCAGAGCUUUGGUGGCCACGAGGAAUCCAACGGUGUUCUGACAGAAUUUCAAAAACGUAGGUUUCACUUUCGGGUAUUAUACAUUAGUAUUUAUGUCUUUAAAGCUUCCGAACCGUGUAAAUGGUUACGUCACUCUCACGUGAUGGCCAACAUACCCUCCUUCGGGACGAGGUGUGUCAGUCAGAGCCCUAGGUUGCAAUCCUGGACAUCUUGAGAAUUCCCUAGUGUCUUCUGUCAGAACUAUACCACCUCGUAGGGAGCCACGCCAUUUAGAUGAGCUUAGUUUCCCUAAUUUAGCAGUUUAGGGGAAACUAUUGCUAUUGUGAUUCAGUCUAUUAUCUAAGAAACCCUUUGAGACUGGUUAUAAGUUGAAUUUGAAUCACUUUAUGGAAUUAUGAACCUGAGGGAGCAGAGUGUUGGCUUACUCACUUGGAAAAGACGUUUUGGAUUAUGCAAGUUAAAGGAAUCUUCCUUCUGACAGGUGGGUCGAGACGACUACCUGGUUGUGGGUUAUGAAUUUGUAUCCUGGUGGAAACAGGAGUAUUAUUCGUUGUCACCGGAGGAAACAACCGAUUGAGAAUUGUUUAAGGAAUUGUUAAAGAAAAGAUUUAUUCCUCCGACAUAUUAUGAUGGUAGUAAGCAAGAGUUUGCAAAUGUGAAACAAGGAAGAUGACAACAAAUGAGUAUUAUAGAAAGUUUUCAGACUUGCCUCGUUUCCAUUCGGAUAUUGUUGCUAAUUUGGUUGAGUUGUUAUGUUGUUUUAGGCUGGGUAAUAAGAAGAAGUGGCAUUUUUGGGGACCACUAUCCAUUGUACUGAUUAUCAAGAGUUUACGAGAUGUUGUUGAAAAUUGAGGAUUCUGAGAAUAUGAUCAGCUAGAGUAAAGAGGAAUAAGAAAAAAAAUGGGAAUUAGAAGAAAGACGAUAAAGAUGAUGAUCCGUCAUAUCAAGGACCUCGAAAGAUUCAGAGUUCCAUAAGUGAAGCUAGAGCGAAUUCUCCCAGCUGAGGUUUUAAUGCCACUGGUCAGAGGUGAAGUGAUAGAUUUAUUGGUGAUCCCAGAUCUCAGAGACAAGGUGAUUUGAAUAAGGGAAAUGUACCUUUGUACAGCAGGAACAAUAUUAGACACUUGGAGAGUGGGAAUCAAUGAAUGUGUCAUGUGGACAGGUGGAACAUAGAGUUAUGUGUUGCCCCUAGAAUCAGUUGUUAACCAGCAGUUUUCCCUGACACCACAGUAUCGAUCCAGCAGGUUUACGGACUUAGUAGUUUUGGUCAGAUUGACCGUGGGUACAUGGAUAGAUGAGUUAUAUGUUCAGCUGUACAGGCCAUAAGAGGUGGAUCCGGCUGACAUAUUAUUUGGAUAGUUGUUGAGUAAGUUGUACAGGUCACUAUAGGUGACUCCGACUUAAUCGCUAGCAUGGAUGGUUGAGCUUGAGAAUCAGCCGUACAGGUCAUUCUAGCUGACUCCGGCUGAUAUGUAUCUUAUUAUGGAUGAUGUUGCCAAGGAAAGUAGCGAAUGAGCACGAUCGAGGCGUGAAUAUGUAUUUUUCCCUGUGAGGAGUAAGAUGGUAAUGUUGCACCCUUUGGAAUUGUUGCUUACUUACCGAGACAACGAUAAUUUAUUAAUAUUGUGGGCUGCAGACCGUAAUAUUAAUAACUUAUUCGUUGGAUCCGUUAAGCAAGUAAACAGGUAGGUUACCCUACAUGAGUUUGGUGUUAUUAAGAGUGUUCAGUGAUGGUCGAAAAUAUAGUUAUGCCAGUGAAUCUUAUUUCGUUGGAGAUUUGGAUGUGAUUUUAGGCACAUAUUAGUAGCAUUAAAUCGUGCCAUCAUAGAUUGCUACGAGAAACUAGUUACUUUCCAUUGAUCUGAUUGACUGGAGUUUACUUUUGUAGGUAUGCAAAGUGGAGCGAGGCAUGUCGUUAGUUGCUGGGAGAGCAAAUAGAUUGUUAUCGAAAGGCUGCCAAGGAUAUUUAGCUCAUGCAGUACUAAGAGAUGUUGCUCUGAGUAGUGUGAAGGAUGUCAAGGUGGUUGGACAUUUUCUUGAUGUUUUCCCUGAGGAAUUUCCUGGAUUACCAUCAGGCGGAGAUGUGGAGUUCAUUAUUAAUUUGUCUCCAGGUACGGACCUUAUAUUAUAGAUUGAUGUCUUCUGAGUUAAGGGAAUUGAACAAGUUCAGUUACAAGAAUUGAUUGAUAAAGGUUCCAUUCAACAUAGUUUGUUGCUUUGGAGGACCCCAGUUUUGUUUGUAAGGAGGAAGAAAAUGAACGUUAAGACUAUACAUUAAUUAUAGGAAACUGAAUCGGGCAAAUUUUGAGAACGAUUAUCUAUUGCCACGCAUGGAUGAUUUGUCAAUCGAUUUGGAGGUGCCUGCGUAUUUCCUAAGAUGGAUUUGAGGUCUGGUUAUUACCAAUUGGAGAUUGAGUGACGAUGUUCCUAAGAUUGUUUUCAGGACUCGUUAUGGUCAUUAUGAGUUUUAGUGAUGCUAUUCGGACUGACGAAUGCGCCUGCUGCUUUCACGAGAUUGUUAAGACUUGAUCAGAACAUAUCGGACAUCUUAAAUUGGUAUUACAAAGAUUGAAGGAACGUCGAUGUAUGCUAAGUUUAGCAAAUGCUAAUGUUGGGUGAGUCAUGUAGCAUUUCUGAGUUAUGUUAUAUCUGCUUAAGGUACUCAAUUGAAAUCUUAAAAUGUAGCAGAAUUGGAGAAAUUGGAACAACCGUGAACCGUGGCUGAAGUUUGAAAUUUUCUUGGCUUAGUAGGGUGUUAUAGAUGGUUUGUUGAGGGUUUUUCAGUUAUUACCUUGCCAUUGACGAGUUUGAUAAGGAAAGAGGUUAUGUGUGAGUGGGAAGGAAAUUGUGAGUAAAGUUUCCAAUAGUUGCAGUAUUUCCUCACUCAUGCGUAUGUUUUAGCACUUCAAGACGUUAACGGUAAUUAUGAGGUCUUUAAUGAUGCUUCUUUGAAUGGUAUUGGAUGUGUUAAGGCAAAAGUGUUAGGGUAAUUGCCUAUGCUCCGCGACAAAUUGAAACCUCAUGAGAUAAUUUACUCUACUCAUAAGUUAGAAUUUGCACUAUCAUCCUUACUUUGAAGUUAUGGAGACAUUACCGCUAUGGUGAGAAAUACAAGAUUGUUAUGGAUUAUAAGAGUCUUUAGUAUCUGUUUACACAGAGGGAUUUUAAUCUUAGACAACGAAGGUGGAUUGAGUUGCUUAGUGUUUAUGAUUGCAUGACCAGGGUGAUCGUGAAAUUUUUAUAGCUGAUGCACUUGAUAAGAAGACUGCAGUGAGGAUUAAUGCCUGGUAUGUUUGCCAUGUUCAUCUUCUUGUGGAUUUGAGACCUACUGGAAUAAAGUUGAGAAUGGAAGAUCGGGAAUAAGCCGUACUUGCUAAUUUUCAAGUUAGGCUUUUUUGGUAAAUCGUACUCGAGACUCAAGCGUUUGACGAAGAAAUUCAAUUUAAAGCAAGGAAUAACGGGAAAAAGAAAGAUUUCAGAAUUCGAGAAUCGGAUGACAUGUUUAUGCAAGAAAACAAGACGUAUGUGCCUAAUGACGUGGAAUCAAAGAAAGCAAUUUUGGACAAAGAGCACUAUUCAGCUUAUGCAACGCAUCCUGAAAGUAUUAAAAUGUAUCAUACCAUUCGACAAUUUUUCUAUUGGCCGGGCAUGAAAAGAAAAAUUACGGAGUAUGUAAGUUUGUGUAUUAUUGGUCAGCAGAUUGAAGCAAAAAGAAAGAAACCUUUGGAUUGAGACAGCUAUUUUCUGUUUCGCAGUGGAAGUGGAAACAAUAUUACUUUAGAUUAUGUGUACAAGCUUCCUCGUACACGAGAUGGUCAUGAUUAAAUUUGAGGCUAUAGAUGGUCGGUUUACCAAGUCAGCGCAUGUUACGCCAGUGAAGAGUAGCAACCUUUCCAGACAGUGCAACAAUUACUUAUUUGUUUAUGGAAAUAGAUUUGGACUUACGGAGCUGCGGAGCUUUUAAGUGUGUUGGUUACGUCAGUUUUCCGAAAGUAGCACCAUUAGGCCCAUGAAAACAGUGUCAUGUGUAUCGAUUUUUGUUAACUUGUGGACGGAAUGUUUCUGGGGAGAAAAAGAUUCGACCGCGAAAGGUACAAUAGUAGAGGAGACUACUCAGAACGCUCAAGUACUUAAGCCUAACCGACUGACAUGCUAUUGUUCGAGUAUGCAUGGUUAAUGAUUUGAUAUUUUUGAAACUUUCACCAAGGAAAGAGAUAGUAAGGUUUGGAAGAAAGACAAGCUAAGUGCUAGUUACAUCAGACCGUUUUUUAUCACUGAAGGAAUCGAUGAAGUUGCAUACAGGUUUGAGUUGUCUUCAGAAUUGGCUAAGGUGCCUAAUGUAUUUUUGUUUUGAUGUUUCGUCACUAUGUAGCAUAUCCGUCGUAUGGGAUUCCAGUUCAACCUUUGGAGAUUAAUCGAAUUUGACUUAUGUUGAGGAACCAGUGACGAUCUUGGGUUGGAAAAAAGAAAGUUCUGAGAACUAAGAUAGCGUACUUAGUAAACGUUUUGUGAAGAAACCAUUCAGUGGAAGAAACUGCAUGGGAGACAGAGAAUUGGAUGAGAGAGAUGUAUAUCAGUUUGUCUUAUGUUUAUUGGUGGAUUAUGAUCGUAUGAAAUUUCGAGGACGAAAUUUUAUAAGGUGGGUAGAUUGUAACAGCCCGUCCUAAAAUAUUGGAAUAUUUUAUUUUCUAAUGGCGUGAAAAGACGAUUUUGCCCUUGGGUUAAUGAAUUUUGUUGUGGCGUUGUAUGGCUUAAGUUGUGAAUGUGGACAAAUAGGUUAAGUCCCUAAUAUUUUGGAACCAAUUAGGGACUUAGACUUGAAUUAUUUUUGUUGUUGUUUUGCCUUGGUUGGCUGGAUCACGCACGGACCACACAUUCACCCACCCGUUGACCUUUUCUCUCUCAUCUCCCUUUCGAUUUUCUGCAACGUCCGUACAAACGUACGGACGAACCUCAAACCAACCCAUUUAUGCACAGAUCAAGCUUGUGAUUAGUACCAUCUCCUUCCUCUCGUCAUCGCGAACUCAACCAUACCAAUUGUUGGACGUGAAACCGUUGAAAACCCGAGAACCCAGGCACCCCGAAGAAGGCACUGUUUAUACUCUUGUGAUCGUGGGGGUUUCAGUUGAUUCUGAGCUUAUGGGAAGCUUUAGAUCACCCUCAUGAUGCUCGGAGUACCAUUUUCACGAAGUUUGGACGUCGGGAUUGUGUAGAACCAGAGAACCCAAUAUUUGGUACUGUUCAUGUGCUCGUGGAAUUAAAGGUUUCAAGGUAUUUGGAGCUCAUAGAAAGCUUAAGGACCUCUCCACGAAGCUCGGAGAGGAAGAAUGAGGUGAUUUAGACGUCUGGAGACCGAGAUCGAAGCAUCACAGUUUGGCCGAAAUUAUCGAAGGAUCUCUGGCAAAUUCUCGAAGGUUUUAGGUCCAAAUCUUGGUAAAGUUUUGUUUCUUAUGUUGUAAGCUUCAUUUUGGUGAAGAUUUCAUGAAAAAUGGUUAAAAAUUGACUGAAAUACGAAGCCUGGAAAAUUUCCAGAAACCGGCGAGUUGCAGCGG
rnacentral:lncRNA from 1 species